AGAACAGCAAAGGAAGUUCAAACUUCAUUUAAGAGGAGAGAGGAACUUUUCAUUGAGCAAAGGCGCAAGGUUGACUUGAAAACUUUUGCAAGCUGGGAGGACUCUCCUGAGAAGAUGAUGAUGGAUAUGAUGUCUGAACCCAAUGCAGUGCGAAGGGAAGAUCGGUGAAUAAAAUUGUGCAGAAUGCAUUAUUGCUUUUUUUUUAUCCUUCACAUUUUUCCAAUUAGGCAGGUUUCUAGAUUGUAAUAAUCCUGUAUAAGAGGAAAGUAGAGUAGGUGAAUAGUCCCGUGUGUUUCUUUACGAUGUGGCUCUACAGAAUUCCAGAGAAGAGUUGAUCUCUCUGGGAAUAUUCAAGGCUUAAGAGCCCCUGGGGGAUUGUU
rnacentral:misc_RNA from 1 species